rnacentral:rRNA from 1 species
AUAUCGACGGCGGUGUUUGGCACCUCGAUGUCGGCUCAUCACAUCCUGGGGCUGUAGCCGGUCCCAAGGGUAUGGCUGUUCGCCAUUUAAAGUGGUACGCGAGCUGGGUUUAGAACGUCGUGAGACAGUUCGGUCCCUAUCUGCCGUGGGCGUUAGAGAUUUGAGAGGAGCUGCUCCUAGUACGAGAGGACCGGAGUGGACGUAUCUCUGGUGUUCCGGUUGUCAUGCCAAUGGCACAGCCGGGUAGCUAAAUACGGACGGGAUAACCGCUGAAAGCAUCUAAGCGGGAAGCCUCCCUCAAGAUUAGAUCUCUCUGGACCUUCGAGGUCCCUAAAGGUUCGUCGAAGACUACGACGUUGAUAGGCUGGGUGUGGAAGUGCAGUAAUGCAUGUAGCUAACCAGUACUAAUUGACCGUGAGGCUUGACCAUAUAACACCCAAGUAUUUUGG